rnacentral:rRNA from 1 species
AUGCGAGCAGGGAGUGAACUUGUCCUCGUGAGUCUGAAAAGACCGGAGGUGAAGAGGGGAAUCCAGAGGUUGUACUCUUCCAACAUUUCUGUAGAGGAAACUGGAGAGAACCUAUAUGAGAUGAAUGCAACUGCAAAGGAUGAGAAAGUAGAAAAUUGUGAUGAUCUUUCUAUGAAGAAUGAACAGACGGUAGGAAAGCCAAAAGUAGAAAGAAUGAACCAUAGCAAUGUCAAGCGUGGCUCAAGUGGGCUUCCUAGCGCCACCAUCAAAGUCAAUCAUGUGUUGGUUCCACCACCUUUUCCGCGAUCCUAG